UACGGAGGGUGCGAGCGUUGUCCGGAAUCACUGGGCGUAAAGGGCGCGUAGGCGGCCUGAUAAGUAGGGGGUGAAAUCCUGCGGCUUAACCGCAGGGCUGCCUUCUAAACUGUCAGGCUAGAGCACAGUAGAGGCAGGUGGAAUUCACGGUGUAGCGGUGGAAUGCGUAGAGAUCGGGAAGAACAUCAGUGGCGAAGGCGGCCUGCUGGGCUGUUGCUGACGCUGAGGCGCGACAGCGUGGGGAGCAAACAGG
rnacentral:rRNA from 1 species